CAGCCGCCGCGGGAAAACGUAGGUGGCAAGCGUUGUCCGGAAUUAUUGGGCGUAAAGGGCUCGCAGGCGGUUUCUUAAGUCUGAUGUGAAAGCCCCCGGCUCAACCGGGGAGGGUCAUUGGAAACUGGGAAACUUGAGUGCAGAAGAGGAGAGUGGAAUUCCACGUGUAGCGGUGAAAUGCGUAGAGAUGUGGAGGAACACCAGUGGCGAAGGCGACUCUCUGGUCUGUAACUGACGCUGAGGAGCGAAUGCGUGGGGAGCGAACAGGAUUAGAUACCCCAGUAGUCCCUGUCUCUUAUAC
rnacentral:rRNA from 1 species